UACGGAGGGGGCUAGCGUUGUUCGGAAUUAUUGGGCGUAAAGAGCUCGUAGGCGGUUUGUUGCGUCGGCUGUGAAAUCCCGAGGCUCAACCUCGGGUCUGCAGUCGAUACGAGCAAACUAGAGUGUUGCAGGGGAGACUGGAAUUCCUGGUGUAGCGGUGAAAUGCGCAGAUAUCAGGAGGAACACCGGUGGCGAAGGCGGGUCUCUGGGCAACAACUGACGCUGAGGAGCGAAAGCGUGGGGAGCGAACAGG
rnacentral:rRNA from 1 species